rnacentral:rRNA from 1 species
UACGUAGGGGGCAAGCGUUGCUCGGAAUCACUGGGCGUAAAGCGCGCGUAGGCGGCUUUGCAAGUCGGGUGUGAAAUCCCCAGGCUUAACCUGGGAACUGCAUUCGAGACUGCAUUGCUAGAGUAUGGGAGAGGGAAGUGGAAUUUCAGGUGUAGCGGUGAAAUGCGUAGAUAUCUGAAGGAACAUCAGUGGCGAAAGCGACUUCCUGGACCAAUACUGACGCUCAUGUGCGAAAGCGUGGGGAGCAAACAGG